rnacentral:misc_RNA from 1 species
CAAAAUACCAGAAGUCAGCAAGUUUCAUUUGCUAAAGAAAUAUUGUUGUCAAAGGUGAAAGGUGCAAGAAAGCAAAGCGUACAUGGCUAGACAAAAAUACAAAUGUAGACAAUGCUGUGAGGCAAAUGUUUAUUUAAAAUAUGCAUAAACAAAUUGAUCUUAGUUUCAAUGUGUUAGUUUUAAUAAUUAAAUAAGAAACCCAAAAUAAAUUUUAGAAAAACAAUAAUACCAACAAGAAAAUUACUAUGCUAGUUCAAACUAAUUCAAAAGAAUAAAAGAGCCAAAAUCACCCUCUUAGAUACCUUUGGCAAAAGUAAUUUCUUUUCUACUUCUGAAAUGUUUUGGUUUUCUAUGGCCAAAGCAUCCUAAAUGCACUUAAUCAAAACAUUGAAUAGGGUACUUUUCACAAUAGCAGCUACAACUUCAAUGCUAUGCAAUCUUUAGUCACAGCUCAACAAAACACAAAUGUAAAAUUAAAAUGCCUAUUGAAAACACAAUAUAGGCCAUGUGCACAUACCAGUGCAAAAAAUACCACCACCACCACCAAGCAAAGCACACAAAAUCACACAGGCUCAAUAUAACUUUGCCAUUUGAUUGCGUGCUUCUGUAUGAGUGGGACAUUGUAGUGUGACUGGGUUAAUCCACUAUGAAGGGGGAAAAUCUUUUUAAUCUUAAUUAACAGAAACUAAAGAAUGUCAAUUGGGAAGAGCAGCAGUAGCAUUGAACAACGGACAACCAAUCAUUUAUGACAAUGAGAUAGGAGUUGUUAUUCUGCAAAAAGCAUAGAUUCCUCAACGUUUCUGGCAUCCCCCCUUCCAGCAGUUUAACAUAGUUCAAGAACAAGCAAAUCAGACUGACCACAUCAGUUGCAACAGAACCAGGGAAAUAAUUCACACUUAGAUCAAGUUGUCUAAUAUUGCAAUAAUUAAAUAACCAGCCCGAGUGGUGUAAUCCAAGGUGUUGCAAAGAUUAAGAAACACAAGAAAUAUGAAAUUGACAUGCAGAAAGCAAGAAAUGAGGCAAAUCCACAUGAAAACAAGUAUAACUCUUGUAGGGAAUGAAACAUGCUUAUUCCAGUUGCUGGCUUUGGUUAGGUACAAAAAUCAGAUAGCUUCAACUAUGUCAAGAGACAAAGAGAAAAUACAAAUAGAAGUUUCCCAACGUUCCCAUCAUGAAAGGGAAGAUUUUUUUGUGAAUAAUGCACAUAAAAAAAAUCUCAAAAACCAACUAAAUAAAACCAGAGGUCAGCGAUUGGAAAGAAUUUACGUGACUAAAUGCAGAAAAAUCUAACAUUUUACUAUUUCAUAAACGAAAUUAAAGCUAACCCAUAAAUGAAAAGAAGGAAUUUUGUUAAAAAAUAAAACAGAGUGAUUAGAUUUACCUCGAUCUUUCAUGAUCUUGAGGAAAGAAGACAUGAUUGUAGAGAUGGGUCGCAACUCCACCGAAGCUUUCCCUCUCUUCUCUGCAUUCACUAUUGUCCUCAAAGCAUCGUUUAAUAUCCUUCUCCCCAUUUCUGCUCUCCACGUCUCUUUCUCUCUCCACACAAAGCCACCAAG